UGCUUUUUUUUUGUCCGACAUCUUAGCAAGUCUGUGGUGCCCGCUGCUGCUCUCCGAGCUUCGCAAUGCCGCCCGAGGACGACAAGAAGAAGAAGGACGCCAGAAAGUCGGCCAAGAAAGACAAAGACCCAGUGAACAAAUCCAGGGGCAAGGCCAAAAAGAAGAAGUGGUCCAAAGGCAAAGUUCGGGACAAGCUAAAUAACUUAGUCUUGUUUGACAAAGCUACCUAUGACAAACUCUGUAAGGAAGUUCCCAACUACAAACUUAUAACCCCAGCUGUGGUCUCUGAGAGACUGAAGAUUCGAGGCUCCCUGGCCAGGGCAGCCCUUCAGGAGCUCCUUAGUAAAGGACUUAUCAAACUGGUUUCAAAGCACAGAGCUCAAGUAAUUUACACCAGAAAUACCAAGGGCAGAGAUGCUCCAGCUGCUGGUGAAGAUGCAUGAAUAGGUCCAACCAACUGUACAUUUGGAAAAAUAAAACUUUAUUAAAU